rnacentral:lncRNA from 1 species
GAUCACCAUUCCCGUGCAGACCUUCUCCAACCUGCAGAUUCGAGGUCAGUACAGCAGGGCCUCGUGGGAAGGGCACUGGAGUCCUGCCCCCUCCUCCAGGGCCUGUAGGUUGCUCCAGACUGGGACUGAGGAUCAGGGCAAAGGGAUCCAGCUCUCCCUGGGGGCCUUCGUGACACUGCAGCGCUCCUAGCCAGAGCCUAUCAUAC